GCAGAAUUCGCCCUUAGAGUUUGAUCCUGGCUCAGGAUAAACGCUGGCGGCGUGCCUUAUGCAUGCAAGUCGAACGGUCUCGACUUAUCGAGAUAGUGGCGAACGGGUGAGUAACACGUAAGCAACCUACCCUCAAGUAGGGGAUAACUCUGAGAAAUUGGAGCUAAUACCUUAUGUGGUGAUGGGGGUAAGGCUUCAUCAGUAAAGUCUUAGGGCGCUUGAGGAGGGGCUUGCGGCCGAUUAGCUAGUUGGUAGGGUAAUGGCUUACCAAGGCGACGAUCGGUAGCUGGUUUGAGAGGAUGUCCAGCCACACUGGGAUUGAGAUACGGCCCAGACUCCUACGGGAGGCAGCAGCAAGGAAUAUUGUGCAAUGGGCGAAAGCCUGACACAGCGACGCCGCGUGGGGGAUGAAGGCUUUCGGGUUGUAAACCCCUUUUCUCAGGGAAGAAUAAUGACGGUACCUGAGGAAUAAGCCUCGGCUAACUACGUGCCAGCAGCCGCGGUAAUACGUAGGAGGCUAGCGUUAUCCGGAUUUACUGGGCGUAAAGAGGGUGUAGGCUGCUUUUCAAGUCGGAUGUAAAAUCUCCCGGCUCAACUGGGAUGGAUCAUCCGAUACUGUUGGGCUAGAGAGCAGCAGAGGGAGGUGGAAUUCCCGGUGUAGUGGUGAAAUGCAUAGAUAUCGGGAGGAACACCAGUGGCGAAGGCGGCCUCCUGGGCUGUUUCUGACGCUGAGGCCCGAAAGCGUGGGUAGCGAACAGAAUUAGAUACUCUGGUAGUCCACGCCGUAAACGAUGGACACUAGGUAUGGCGAGUAUCGGCCCUCUCCGUGCCGAAGCUAACGCGUUAAGUGUCCCGCCUGGGGAGUACGGCCGCAAGGCUAAAACUCAAAGGAAUUGACGGGGGCCCGCACAAGCAGCGGAGCGUGUGGUUUAAUUCGAUGCAACGCGAAGAACCUUACCAAGGCUUGACAUGUUGGAAGUAGUAACCCGAAAGGGAAGCGACCUGUUAAGUCAGGAGCCAUCACAGGUGCUGCAUGGCUGUCGUCAGCUCGUGCCGUGAGGUGUUGGGUUAAGUCCCGCAACGAGCGCAACCCUCGUUGCCAGUUGUUUUCUCUGGCUAGACUGCCCCGCAAGACGGGGAGGAAGGUGAGGAUGACGUCAAGUCAGCAUGGCCCUUAUGCCUUGGGCUACACACACGCUACAAUGGGUGGUACAGAGGGUAGCAAAGGAGCAAUCCGGAGCCAAUCCCACAAAGCCAUCCUCAGUUCGGAUUGCAGGCUGAAACUCGCCUGCAUGAAGUUGGAGUUGCUAGUAACCGCAGGUCAGCACACUGCGGUGAAUACGUUCUCGGGCCUUGUACACACCGCCCGUCACGUCAUGAAAGUUGGCAACACCUGAAGUCGAUGGGCUAACUCUAACUUGUUAGGGAGGCAGUCGCCUAGGGUGGGGUCAAUGAUUGGGACGAAGUCGUAACAAGGUAACCAAGGGCGAA
rnacentral:rRNA from 1 species